AGUUGUGGUCCUCGGCCCCGA
rnacentral:misc_RNA from 1 species